rnacentral:rRNA from 1 species
GUACUGUGCAAACGUUAUUCGGAAUCACUGGGCUUAAAGGGUGCGUAGGCGGGCUAUUCAAGUCGGGAUGUGAAAUCUCUCGGCCUAACCGAGGAAUUGCGUUCGAAACUGAAUGGCUUGAGUGAGAUAGGGGUGUGCGGAACUUCCAGUGGAGCGGUGAAAUGUGUUGAUACUGGAAGGAACGCCGGUGGCGAAGGCGGCACACUGGGUCUCAACUGACGCUGAGGCACGAAAGCCAGGGUAGCGAACGGGAUUAGAUACCCCGGUAGUCCUGGCUGUAAACGAUGAGUACUAGACGGGAGGAAUUUCGGUUUCUCCGGUCGCAGCGAAAGCAAUAAGUACUCCGCCUGGGGAGUAUGGUCGCAAGGCUG